AUUUGAACGACCAUUUAACUGUCUUCAUAACACUCGGAACGUCACUUGGAGGAAUAUGCAUUUCCUUCCUACUAUUUUCCAUUGGACUGAUACUUUACAUGAGAAGAGAAAAGAAGUUAAAAUAUUCAAAAUCCCACAAUGCCACCAAAGCAUCCUACCAUUAUACCGAUAGUCAACAGUACCAGCAAAUAGAUACAGUUGGAGAAAUAGAAUCAGACUACGCCAACAUUGUAGACACGCCUGCCUACUCUACCUUGAGACAGAUGAGAGAAGUAUCAGUAUGAGAAAAUAUCACCAAUAAAUCCUCCAUCUUUUAGCAAAUCUUGAUAUUAUUUUUGUCUCCUACUUACUAUGUGCAUUUAAUGAUUGAUCGAUUGAUUGUAUAUUGUUUAACGUCCUUCUCGAGAUUGUUCACUCAUAUGGAGACGCCACUACUUUUCGCGAUGGAGAGCUGCAAUUUUGUCCUAUACUCGGCACUCAGAACCAUAGAGCAGGGAGGGGCCUUUCUCUUGCCAGCACAUACUGCGACACGGGACCUCGGUUUAUACGGUCUCAUCCAAAGGACCAGGACCGGUCUCCACGUCCCACAAUGGGAUUCGAACCCACGACGUAAGGAUCAAUUCCUUACUUUGCGACUCUAGAUCAGACUCUCUAACCACUGCGCCACGCGGGCGACUGUGCAUUAAAUGAAACACAAAUAUGAGGCGCGAUUUUGGAUUUAUUUCCAUUUAGUUCUAUCAAUUUUCUGAAUAAGUGAUAUCAUCUUUUUGAAUAGAUGCUAUCAUUUAAUCGAAUAUGUGAAACCAAUUUUUUGAAUCGGUGAUAUCACCUAUUUAUUAUGAAUUGGUGAUAUAACUAAUUAAAACGAGUGAUAUCAUUUUCUUUAAGACAAUCUAGGUUGAAUGCAAAGUAAAGGAUAAAAUUUUAAAUAGCUUUCAAAGAACAUUUUCAUUUUCUUAAUUUAGCAUUGAUUCAAAAAUGAAGAUUUUGAAUUCGAUACUCUAAAACAAACUCUUUGAAAAAAGAUUUUAAAAGAUUCUCUACACUAGUUAAAGUAAAUUCGAGCAUCAUACUCUACUAUUUUGGCUUUGCUUUAAACAAAUAAACUGAAAAUUUGCUUUAAGAUCUCAUCUCCUUUCUUGCAAAAUGAGAACACUGUUCAUAUGUUUCAUGUUCACCAAAGGUUCCUUAGAAGAUAUGGAAAGAAAUUACCGUCUUUUUAUCUUGCUUUUCUUCUUACUCUACCUACUUUUUUGCAGCCCAGAGGACCGAGCUGCUCUAUUCAUAUAAGUUUAAGUUUUAAUGUAUGAGAUUGAUGUGGUAGAAGUUAUUCAGAAUCAAAUGUUAACUAUAUAUUAAUAGAAUAUACAUAUGAAUGUCAUUUCCCUUUGUAAAUUACGAGAUACACGAUAUAUUUACUUCCAUGAAGUACAUCUUUAUCAAUAUAUAUGUUUUAAUACUAAUGUAUGAAAUUGGUUAUCAUUUACCAUAAAAAACGACAGAUCCUCUUUUUAGAACAUUAAAUUUUACUUAUCGCAGAAAAACGUUUUCACAAUUUGUGUUUUAUAUUUAUUGAGCCAAAUAUAUUUUUGAUGAUAUGUUAUGUCUGUGUCUGAUUCUAUUUCGUAUCUUUUACAGCUAACAAUUGCUUGAGAAAUUAAGUUUAAAACGUUACCGUUUUUGUAUUUUCAUCCGACUAGAAGUUUUCCGUAAAUCUUCUCGACUAUAGUCGUCAUCAUUCAGACGCAUGUCUGAUCACGCAAAUCGAACAGUUUGAUUACCAAGACUUAUUUUCGUUGUUUUUAUUUA